AACCGCCAAACCCUAGUUGUGCAUGGAUAGCCCCUCACGCCAGCCGCCAAUGCCCCAAUCCCGUAAUCGCAGCCUCGCCCCGCUCGCAUCUUCCUCUCCCUCUCAGCGCUGGUGCUCAAUCUACAGGUCGUCCCGCUCCCUACACACCCGCCCUCCGGUGUGAACCUCCAUGACGUCCACAACCACUCUCCGAUCUGCUGUCGUGACCUCAUCCAGCCGUGCUGUGGCAGUGGAUCGGAGUUCGCUCCAGCUCUGAUUGGGGGAAAAUGACUAGGGUAUCAAGUGGAAAAACAUAAUGGUCCAGGUUCUACUGCGGCACCUCUUUUAGGCUAAGCAUCUAAACAACAAUAUGUAAAUUAUCCUUUUCCAAUAAAAUACAUGCUUAAAUCGUGGCUGCUAGGCGAAUGGUCCUACUUUGGUCAUCAAAUGCAGGAAUUCCACUACUAUAUGUGCCACUUGAAGUUGUUAUGUUCAAAUAAUAUGGUGAAAACGAGCGUCUAUUGGGAUCUAUUUUUUAUCUUGCAAAUGAUCUUCCUGAAGGAGGUAAUAUAUUCUUAGAUGAGGUAUAUAUCGUAAUACUUAUAGCAUAAACACUCAAGCCACUACAAGUAAGCUCCUGCUCUUUGCUUGUUUCCAGAUUGAUAUGUCAAGAUACGCUUGUUUCAUUUGAGCUCACUGUUAUCUGAAAAUAUAUAGACUGCCUUCGUCCCCUUCAUCACUGCUGAUGACCGUGACUUGGAGACCCGACAGCGACCCUCGACGUUGUCGCCGCCGAGCCCAUGCUGGUUCCACCAGUGGUCCACCGCCCGGAUGUGGCCCGCCAAGACGAGCAGGAACGGUGGCAGCGAGGCGAGGUGGUAGAUCCAGCACCGCCUCUGCACGACCAUCCAUUCCUCCACCCAGAGCAUGUACCCAGGCUUGCCUCUCCUCGGGGAACAUGCCGAGGUCGUCCGGCUGGAGCAGAAGGCGGCAUCGCUCAACAAGCUAGUCGA